GACGAGCGCGGCGGCGUGCUUAACACAUGCAAGUCGAACGAAGAGCGAUGGAAGCUUGCUUCUAUCAAUCUUAGUGGCGAACGGGUGAGUAACGCGUAAUCAACCUGCCCUUCAGAGGGGGACAACAGUUGGAAACGACUGCUAAUACCGCAUACGAUCUAAUCUCGGCAUCGAGGAUAGAUGAAAGGUGGCCUCUACAUGUAAGCUAUCACUGAAGGAGGGGAUUGCGUCUGAUUAGCUAGUUGGAGGGGUAACGGCCCACCAAGGCGAUGAUCAGUAGCCGGUCUGAGAGGAUGAACGGCCACAUUGGGACUGAGACACGGCCCAGACUCCUACGGGAGGCAGCAGUGGGGAAUCUUCCGCAAUGGACGAAAGUCUGACGGAGCAACGCCGCGUGAGUGAUGACGGCCUUCGGGUUGUAAAGCUCUGUUAAUCGGGACGAAAGGCCUUCCUGCGAAUAAU
rnacentral:rRNA from 1 species